CGAGGAAUUCUGCGCAAUGGCCGCAAGGCUGACGCAGCAACGCCGCGUGGGUGAUGAAGGCCUUCGGGUCGUAAAGCCCUGUCAGGUGGGAAGAAAGGCCUGGAGAGGAAAGGUUUCAGGUUUGACGGUACCACCAGAGGAAGCACCGGCUAACUCCGUGCCAGCAGCCGCGGUAAUACGGAGGGUGCGAGCGUUAUUCGGAAUUACUGGGCGUAAAGCGCGUGUAGGCGGGGGGACAAGUCUGAUGUGAAAGCCCUGGGCUUAACCUGGGAAGCGCAUUGGAAACUGUUUUUCUCGAGUACUGGAGAGGAAGGGGGAAUUCCCGGUGUAGAGGUGAAAUUCGUAGAGAUCGGGAGGAAUACCAGUGGCGUAGGCGCCCUUCUGGACGGUAACUGACGCUGAGACGCGAAAGCGUGGGGAGCAAACAG
rnacentral:rRNA from 1 species